CGUAGGGGGCAAGCGUUGUCCGGAAUCAUUGGGCGUAAAGCGCGCGUAGGCGGCCCGGUAAGUCCGCUGUGAAAGUCAAAGGCUCAACCUUUGAAAGCCGGUGGAUACUGUCGGGCUAGAGUCCGGAAGAGGCGAGUGGAAUUCCUGGUGUAGCGGUGGAAUGCGCAGAUAUCAGGAGGAACACCGAUAGCGAAGGCAGCUCGCUGGGACGGUACUGACGCUGAGGCGCGAAAGCGUGGGGAGCGAACAGGAUUAGAUACCCUGGUAGUCCACGCCGUAAACGAUGGGCACUAGGUGUGGGAGGUGUCGACUCCUCCCGUGCCGUCGCUAACGCACUAAGUGCCCCGCCUGGGGAGUACGGCCGCAAGGCUA
rnacentral:rRNA from 1 species